AAUCAACGCUGGCGGCGUGCCUCAGACAUGCAAGUCGAACGAUUAAAGCUCUCUUCGGAGAGUGCAUAAAGUGGCGUACGGGUGAGUAACACGUAAGUAAUCUACCUUCGAGUGGGGAAUAACGUUCGGAAACGAACGCUAAUACCGCAUAAUGCAGCGGCAUCUAUGAUGACAGUUGUUAAAGAUUUAUCGCUUGAAGA
rnacentral:rRNA from 1 species